GCAACCUAAAUGUAUUUUAGUUUAGCUGUAGUUUACAGUAAUUACAAGUAGUUAUUCGGUGUGAAUUGAAAUUUCUGGGACUGCAGAAUAAAAUGUGAUGUGUAAGAGUGCAGACACAGGAUAAUACCAAAGGUCCCACACAAGUAACACAAAUUGCAUAUAAUGUAACCACACAACCACAAAUUACAAUCAUAACAUAUCACAGUCAAUCAGUGAGCACAAAUUACAAUGAUAA